rnacentral:rRNA from 1 species
CCUACGGGAGGCAGCAGUUUCGAAUCAUUCACAAUGGACGAAAGUCUGAUGGUGCAACGCCGCGUGAGGGAUGAAGGUCUUCGGAUUGUAAACCUCUGUCGCUAAGGAGCAAACGCUAGGUUCAUAGCCUAGCCUGAGUUAACUUUGAAAGGAAGCAGUGGCUAACUCCGUGCCAGCAGCCGCGGUAA